UUAAAUUGAAGAGUUUGAUCAUGGCUCAGAUUGAACGCUGGCGGCAGGCCUAACACAUGCAAGUCGAACGGUAACAGGAAGCAGCUUGCUGUUUCGCUGACGAGUGGCGGACGGGUGAGUAAUGUCUGGGAAACUGCCUGAUGGAGGGGGAUAACUACUGGAAACGGUAGCUAAUACCGCAUAACGUCGCAAGACCAAAGAGGGGGACCUUCGGGCCUCUUGCCAUCGGAUGUGCCCAGAUGGGAUUAGCUAGUAGGUGGGGUAACGGCUCACCUAGGCGACGAUCCCUAGCUGGUCUGAGAGGAUGACCAGCCACACUGGAACUGAGACACGGUCCAGACUCCUACGGGAGGCAGCAGUGGGGAAUAUUGCACAAUGGGCGCAAGCCUGAUGCAGCCAUGCCGCGUGUAUGAAGAAGGCCUUCGGGUUGUAAAGUACUUUCAGCGGGGAGGAAGGGAGUAAAGUUAAUACCUUUGCUCAUUGACGUUACCCGCAGAAGAAGCACCGGCUAACUCCGUGCCAGCAGCCGCGGUAAUACGGAGGGUGCAAGCGUUAAUCGGAAUUACUGGGCGUAAAGCGCACGCAGGCGGUUUGUUAAGUCAGAUGUGAAAUCCCCGGGCUCAACCUGGGAACUGCAUCUGAUACUGGCAAGCUUGAGUCUCGUAGAGGGGGGUAGAAUUCCAGGUGUAGCGGUGAAAUGCGUAGAGAUCUGGAGGAAUACCGGUGGCGAAGGCGGCCCCCUGGACGAAGACUGACGCUCAGGUGCGAAAGCGUGGGGAGCAAACAGGAUUAGAUACCCUGGUAGUCCACGCCGUAAACGAUGUCGACUUGGAGGUUGUGCCCUUGAGGCGUGGCUUCCGGAGCUAACGCGUUAAGUCGACCGCCUGGGGAGUACGGCCGCAAGGUUAAAACUCAAAUGAAUUGACGGGGGCCCGCACAAGCGGUGGAGCAUGUGGUUUAAUUCGAUGCAACGCGAAGAACCUUACCUGGUCUUGACAUCCACGGAAGUUUUCAGAGAUGAGAAUGUGCCUUCGGGAACCGUGAGACAGGUGCUGCAUGGCUGUCGUCAGCUCGUGUUGUGAAAUGUUGGGUUAAGUCCCGCAACGAGCGCAACCCUUAUCCUUUGUUGCCAGCGGUCCGGCCGGGAACUCAAAGGAGACUGCCAGUGAUAAACUGGAGGAAGGUGGGGAUGACGUCAAGUCAUCAUGGCCCUUACGACCAGGGCUACACACGUGCUACAAUGGCGCAUACAAAGAGAAGCGACCUCGCGAGAGCAAGCGGACCUCAUAAAGUGCGUCGUAGUCCGGAUUGGAGUCUGCAACUCGACUCCAUGAAGUCGGAAUCGCUAGUAAUCGUGGAUCAGAAUGCCACGGUGAAUACGUUCCCGGGCCUUGUACACACCGCCCGUCACACCAUGGGAGUGGGUUGCAAAAGAAGUAGGUAGCUUAACCUUCGGGAGGGCGCUUACCACUUUGUGAUUCAUGACUGGGGUGAAGUCGUAACAAGGUAACCGUAGGGGAACCUGCGGUUGGAUCACCUCCUUACCUUAAAGAAGC
rnacentral:rRNA from 6 species